AGUUGUCGACGGUGAC
rnacentral:sRNA from 1 species